GAUGAACGCUGGCGGCGUGCCUAAUACAUGCAAGUCGAGCGAACGGACGAGAAGCUUGCUUCUCUGAUGUUAGCGGCGGACGGGUGAGUAACACGUGGAUAACCUACCUAUAAGACUGGGAUAACUUCGGGAAACCGGAGCUAAUACCGGAUAAUAUUUUGAACCGCAUGGUUCAAAAGUGAAAGACGGUCUUGCUGUCACUUAUAGAUGGAUCCGCGCUGCAUUAGCUAGUUGGUAAGGUAACGGCUUACCAAGGCAACGAUGCAUAGCCGACCUGAGAGAGUGAUCGGCCACACUAGAACUGAGACACGGUCCAGACUCCUACGGGAGGCAGCAGUAGGGAAUCGUCCGCAAUGGGCGAAAGCCUGACGGAGCAACGCCGCGUGAGUGAUGAAGGUCUUCGGAUCGUAAAACUCUGUUAUUAGGGAAGAACAUAUGUGUAAGUAACUGUGCACAUCUUGACGGUACCUAAUCAGAAAGCCACGGCUAACUACGUG
rnacentral:rRNA from 1 species